GCUGGGCGUGGUGGCGCACUUCUGUAAUCCCAGUGGCUCAGGAGGCUGAAGCAGGAGGAUGGAGAGUUCAAAGCCAGCCUCAGUAAAAGCAAGGUGCUAAGCAACUCAGUGAGAUCCUGUCUCUA
rnacentral:sRNA from 1 species